rnacentral:rRNA from 1 species
GAUGAACGCUGGCGGCGUGCCUAAUACAUGCAAGUCGAGCGAACGGACGAGAAGCUUGCUUCUCUGAUGUUAGCGGCGGACGGGUGAGUAACACGUGGAUAACCUACCUAUAAGACUGGGAUAACUUCGGGAAACCGGAGCUAAUACCGGAUAAUAUUUUGAACCGCAUGGUUCAAAAGUGAAAGACGGUCUUUCUGUCACUUAUAGAUGGAUCCGCGCUGCAUUAGCUAGUUGGUAAGGUAACGGCUUACCAAGGCAACGAUGCAUAGCCGACCUGAGAGGGUGAUCGGCCACACGGGAUCUGAGACACGGUCCAGACUCCUACGGUAGGCAGCAGUAGGGAAUCUUCCGCGAUGGGCGAAAGCCUGACGGAGCAACGCCGCGUGAGUGAUGAAGGUCUUCGGAUCGUAAAACUCUGUUAUUAGGGAAGAACAUAUGUGUAAGUAACUGUGCACAUCUUGACGGUACCUAAUCAGAAAGCCACGGCUAACUACGUG